UACAGGGGGGGCAAGCGUUGUUCGGAAUUACUGGGCGUAAAGGGCGCGUAGGCGGCACGGCAAGUCAGGAGUGAAAGGCCUGGGCUCAACCGAGGAACUGCUUUUGAGACUGCCGAGCUAGAGUGCAGAAGGGGCAACUGGAAUUCCCAGUGUAGCGGUGAAAUGCGUAGAUAUUGGGAAGAACACCUGAGGCGAAGGCGGGUUGCUGGGCUGACACUGACGCUGAGGCGCGAAAGCCAGGGGAGCAAACGGG
rnacentral:rRNA from 1 species